UAUCCUUAUAUUAAUUUAGGUCACAUUAGGUUGCUAAGUAGUCUUUGUUUACCCUUCAGAAAUGGUAGAAAAAUAGGUUGAGAUUGUAAGGGAAGAAGGAUUGGAGAUAUCUCAACCAGCUCUUGAUCCAAAUUCGACAGAGAUACAUCAUAGAAUUACAGUUAGAGCUAGGACCAAGAAAGUGCAUAGGUGUUCAAUGAUCCCACGACAUUAACAGAGGAGGAGCUGUAUGAUUUGCGAGACCGCUGGACAACUUGUUUUCUUGACCUAUAUAAUCCUGAGGUAGAUUAUGAUGAUGCCGACGAGAAAGAUUAGGAGCUAGCUAGGUUUGUGUGAAGUUACAAUGGACUAGUUAUGAUUA